GAAAGCGAGUCUGAAUAGGGCGUUUAGUAUUUGGUCGUAGACCCGAAACCAGGUGAUCUACCCUUGGUCAGGUUGAAGUUCAGGUAACACUGAAUGGAGGACCGAACCGACUUACGUUGAAAAGUGAGCGGAUGAACUGAGGGUAGCGGAGAAAUUCCAAUCGAACCUGGAGAUAGCUGGUUCUCUCCGAAAUAGCUUUAGGGCUAGCCUCAAGUGAUGAUUAUUGGAGGUAGAGCACUGUUUGGACGAGGGGCCCCUCUCGGGUUACCGAAUUCAGACAAACUCCGAAUGCCAAUUAAUUUAACUUGGGAGUCAGAACAUGGGUGAUAAGGUCCGUGUUCGAAAGGGAAACAGCCCAGACCACCAGCUAAGGUCCCAAAAUAUAUGUUAAGUGGAAAAGGAUGUGGCGUUGCCCAGACAACUAGGAUGUUGGCUUAGAAGCAGCCAUCAUUUAAAGAGUGCGUAAUAGCUCACUAGUCGAGUGACACUGCGCCGAAAAUGUACCGGGGCUAAACAUAUUACCGAAGCUGUGGAUUGUCCUUUGGACAAUGGUAGGAGAGCGUUCUAAGGGCGUUGAAGCAUGAUCGUAAGGACAUGUGGAGCGCUUAGAAGUGAGAAUGCCGGUGUGAGUAG
rnacentral:rRNA from 1 species